rnacentral:rRNA from 1 species
UACGAAGGGGGCGAGCGUUGUUCGGAUUUACUGGGCGUAAAGGGCGCGUAGGCGGAUAGUUUAGUCAGAGGUGAAAGCCCAGGGCUCAACCUUGGAACUGCCUUUGAUACUGGCUAUCUUGAGUACGGGAGAGGUGAGUGGAACUCCGAGUGUAGAGGUGAAAUUCGUAGAUAUUCGGAAGAACACCAGUGGCGAAGGCGACUCACUGGCCCGUUACUGACGCUGAGGCGCGAAAGCGUGGGGAGCAAACAGG